AACGCAAAAUUACAACGUACAGAUUUAUGCAAGAGGGGUGACUGCAAAGUGCGUUGCAUGAGUAGUGUAAGAAGCUGAAAAUUGCUGCUGUUGUCACUGUCAUAGACGCGUUAUUUUCUUUGGCUCUGAACAAACAUGUUGUUCCAAAAUCGACAAAUAAGAUUACAAAUUGCAUUGCAUCAACAGAAUUGUUUACCAGGACCUUGGUCUUGAUUAUGAUUCCAUUGCAGUAAGUGCCUCUAUCAAUCACAGGGAGAUCAAGUCCUUGCCUGAAGAUGUGCAUAUAAAGAUAUCCCAUACAGCAGCGUACCCUGAAGGAGCUUGAUG